GAACACACUCGUUUAAAGUUGUGCAAUGCUCCCUUAUGUUGUUUGGCAGCCACCUGCUUUGUCCAUUGCUUGCAGAAAGAACAGCCCUUUGGAGCUAGCUGGCGGGGGCUUGGACUGGCUGCCCCCCCCCCCCAUCAGCUCCCUGCUCCCUUAAGUUCCCUGUGCAGCAGCUGCCCAGCAGGCUGUCAAUUACCGGGCAGUUCAGCUGUGCCUCCCCCUACUGCCCUGUGCUGCUCCUGCCCUCUGCCUUGGAGCUGCUGCCGGGAGCUUUCUGCUUGCUGUGCUGGGUGGGGGAAGAGGGGCUAAUGUGAGGGUGUCCCCCUC